GAUGCGUUCCAUUAGGCAGUUGGUGAGGUAACGGCUCACCAAACCUUCGAUGGAUAGGGGUUCUGAGAGGAAGGUCCCCCACAUUGGAACUGAGACACGGUCCAAACUCCUACGGGAGGCAGCAGUGAGGAAUAUUGGUCAAUGGGCGCAGGCCUGAACCAGCCAAGUAGCGUGAAGGAUGACUGCCCUAUGGGUUGUAAACUUCUUUUAUAUGGGAAUAAAGUUUUCCACGUGUGGAAUUUUGUAUGUACCAUAUGAAUAAGGAUCGGCUAACUCCGUGCCAGCAGCCGCGGUAAUACGGAGGAUCCGAGCGUUAUCCGGAUUUAUUGGGUUUAAAGGGAGCGUAGGUGGACAGUUAAGUCAGUUGUGAAAGUUUGCGGCUCAACCGUAAAAUUGCAGUUGAUACUGGCUGUCUUGAGUACAGUAGAGGUGGGCGGAAUUCGUGGUGUAGCGGUGAAAUGCUUAGAUAUCACGAAGAACUCCGAUUGCGAAGGCAGCUCACUGGACUGCAACUGACACUGAUGCUCGAAAGUGUGGGUAUCAAACAGGAUUAGAUACCCUGGUAGUCCACACAGUAAACGAUGAAUACUCGCUGUUUGCGAUAUACAGUAAGCGGCCAAGCGAAAGCAUUAAGUAUUCCACCUGGGGAGUACGCCGGCAACGGUGAAACUCAAAGGAAUUGACGGGGGCCCGCACAAGCGGAGGAACAUGUGGUUUAAUUCGAUGAUACGCGAGGAACCUUACCCGGGCUUAAAUUGCAUUUGAAUAUAUUGGAAACAGUAUAGCCGUAAGGCAAAUGUGAAGGUGCUGCAUGGUUGUCGUCAGCUCGUGCCGUGAGGUGUCGGCUUAAGUGCCAUAACGAGCGCAACCCUUAUCUUUAGUUACUAACAGGUCAUGCUGAGGACUCUAGAGAGACUGCCGUCGUAAGAUGUGAGGAAGGUGGGGAUGACGUCAAAUCAGCACGGCCCUUACGUCCGGGGCUACACACGUGUUACAAUGGGGGGUACAGAAGGCAGCUACCUGGUGACAGGAUGCU
rnacentral:rRNA from 1 species